AGGGGGAGCAGUGGGUAUUUUGAUGAAAGCCACCCCUGUCUACAGCUCAGAAGCAGACUCAAUGGUUUCCUUGUGAGAGGUCCGGCUCCCUGGCCUAGAAAUGGAGGCCUCACGGGCAGGAGGGUAGUGGUAUGUAGCUGUAGUGGUAUGUGCUCUCUCUCAAUGCUGAGCUGCAGCUCCCAGUCAGCCACUGGAUCAUGAGGGUAAAAUACGGAUACUUGACAUCUUCUUAAAGAACAUCAUGCCUGCUAAGCCAUCCAGUUUGGAUGCCCCAGUGCCUUCCACCAGCCAUUCUCAAGCCUCAUUAGAAGAGAGAGAUUGAUGACCCUGUAGCUGCAGCAUCCCAUCAUCCUGCAUUUUAGUUCAAUGCUUCAAACGUUCUUCAGGCCCAGUGUGCUUUCAGCUGUGUAUGUUAAUGACAUUUGAAGUUCUACAAUGAACCCAUCGGAGAUGCAAAGAAAAGCACCUCCGCGGAGACGGAGACACCGCAAUCGAGCACCGUCGAGUCACAAGAUGAACAAAAUGAUGAUGUCAGAAGAACAGAUGAAGUUGCCAUCCACCAAUAAGGCAGAGCCGCUGACUUGGGCACAACUAAACAAGCUGACGCAGUUAGCUACAAAAUGUCUAGAGAACACAAAGAUGACACAAACUCCAGAGAGUAUGCUGCUUGCAGCAUUGAUGAUUGUAUCAACGGUGGGAGAGCACCAGGAUGCUUAAUGCCUGCAGUCCAAAAUUGGUUGGUAGAAGGACCUACUGUCAGUCCCAUCAGUAGAAUCAUUUCUUACAUGCACCGUAUUCUGCUGGUGAGAGCAAGAGAAGGCAUGCGGAUCCCUGUGUCCAUGGACCAACCGUGGGAGGCCUCGCCAUCCGUCCAUGUUUUGACUGAAGUAUUAAAAGGCAUUUUAAAUAGAUCCAAAAGAUUCAUUUUUACUUUAAUUACAGUGAUUAUGGGAUUAAUUGCAGUCACAGCUAUGGCUGCUAUAGCAGGAGUUGCGUUGCACUCUUCUGUUCAGUCAGUAAACUUUGUUAAUGAUUGGCAAAAGAAUUCUACGAGAUUGUGGAAUUCGCAAUCUGGUAUUGAUCAAAAAAUGGCAAAUCAAAUUAAUGUUCUUAGACAAGCUGUCAUUUGGAUGGGAGACAGGCUCAUGAGCUUAGAACAUCGUUUCCAGUUACAGUGUGACUGGAAUACGUCAGAUUUUUGUAUUACACCCCAAGUUUAUAAUGAGUCUGAGCAUCACUGGGACAUGGUUAGACGCCAUCUACAGGGAAGAGAAGAUAAUCUCACUUUAGACAUUUCCAAAUUAAAAGAACAAAUUUUUGAAACAUCAAAAGCCCAUUUAAAUUUGGUGCCAGGAACUGAGGCAAUCGCAGGAGUUGCUGAUGGCCUCGCAAAUCUUAACCCUGUCACUUGGGUUAAGACCAUCGGAAGUACUAUGAUUAUAAAUUUCAUAUUAAUCCUUGUGUGCCUGUUUUGUCUGUUGUUAGUCUGCAGGUGUACCCAACAGCUCUGAAGAGACAGUGACCAUUGAGAACGGGCCAUGAUGACGAUGGCUGUUUUGUCGAAAAGAAAAGGGGGAAAUGUGGGGAAAAGAAAGACAGAUCAGAUUGUUACUGUGUCUGCAUAGAAAGAAGUAGACACAGGAGACUCCAUUUUGUUCUGUAUUAAGAAAAAUUCUUCUGCUUUGAGAUGCUGUUAAUCUGUAACCUUACCCCAACCCCGUGCUCUCUGAAACACAUGCUGUGUCAACUCAGGGUUAAAUGGAUUAAGGGCUGUGCAGGAUGUGCUUUGUUAAACAGAUGCUUGAAGGCAGCAUGCUCCUUUAGAGUCAUCACCACGCCCUAAUCUCAACUACCCAGGGACACAAACACUGCGGAAGGCCACAGGGACCUCUGCCUAGGAAAGCCAGGUAUUGUCCAAGGUUUCUCCCCAUGUGAUAGUCUGAAAUAUGGCCUCGUGGGAAGGGAAAGACCUGACCGUCCCCCAGCCCAACACCCAUAAAGGGUCUGUGCUGAGGAGGAUUAGUAUAAGAGGAAGGCAUGCCUCUUUGCAGUUGAGACAAGAGGAAGGCAUCUGUCUCCUGCCCAUCCCUGGGCAAUGGAAUGUCUCGGUAUAAAACCCGAUUGUAUGUUCCAUCUACUGAGAUAGGGGAAAACCGCCUUAGGGCUGGAGGUGGGACAUGUGGGCAACAAUACUGCUCUGUAAGGCAUUGAGAUGUUUAUGUGUAUGCAUAUCUAAAGCACAGCACUUAAUUCUUUACCUUGUCUAUGAUGCAGAGACCUUUGUUCACGUGUUUAUCUGCUGACCUUCUCUCCAUUAUUAUCCUAUGACCCUGCCACAUCCCCCUCUCUGAGAAACACCCAAGAAUGAUCAAUAAAUACUAAGGGAACUCAGAGGCUGGUGGGAUCCUCCGUAUGCUGAAUGCUGGUCCCCUGGGCCCCCUUAUUUCUUUC
ensembl:lncRNA novel transcript